rnacentral:SRP_RNA from 1 species
CCGCGCUGGAUGGGGAGUUAGCGGUGCCCUGUACCUGCAAUCCGCUAUAGCAGGAUCGAUCUCCCGACCGAGGCUGCUGCUGCAAAUGUUGGUUUCGUCUCAAGCGGUGUUGAGAGCCGGGCCCUGUGCAAUAGAUACUUGUGAACCCCGUCAGGUCCGGAAGGAAGCAGCGGUAAGCGAGGACGCUAUGUGCCGCAGGUAUACCUGGUUUGAGCUGGCUGUUGCGAGGCAGUUUGUGGUGGUCGUCGACGUUGGGUGCGCGG